GAAAUAAUGAAGAACUAGAGGUGCCAUCAAAUAUCUAGUAUAAUUUAUUUCUUUUCUGGCUAUUGUUAUUUUUUGAAGGUGGAAUAUAGAAAAAGAAAGUAAUUGAGUAGGUCAUAUCCUAGACCUAAUGCCCUGCAGUUGCCAGAUUUUGACGGAGACUGCAACUGUCCUUGUGGGAGGAACUUACAAGCAGCAAGUAAUUUGGUCUGAAGGAGAGGCAGCGCCAAAU
rnacentral:misc_RNA from 1 species